UCGAGGGGCAGCACAAUGGUAGCAAUACUAUGGUGGCGACCGGCGCACGGGUGAGUAACACGUAUGCAACCUACCUGUAAGCGGGGAAUAACCCGGAGAAAUCCGGACUAACACCGCAUAAUACCACUGAACUGCAUGGUUUAGUGGUUAAAUAUUUAUAGCUUACAGAUGGGCAUGCGUAUGAUUAGCUAGUUGGUGAGGUAACGGCCCACCAAGGCAUCGAUCAUUAGGGGUUCUGAGAGGAAGGUCCCCCACACUGGUACUGAGAUACGGACCAGACUCCUACGGGAGGCAGCAGUGAGGAAUAUUGGUCAAUGGGCGAGAGCCUGAACCAGCCAAGUCGCGUGAAGGAAGAAGGUUCUAUGGAUUGUAAACUUCUUUUGUAAGGGAAUAAAGUGCGCUACGUGUAGCGUUUUGUAUGUACUUUACGAAUAAGGAUCGGCUAACUCCGUGCCAGCAGCCGCGGUAAUACGGAGGAUCCAAGCGUUAUCCGGAUUUAUUGGGUUUAAAGGGUGCGUAGGCGGACCUGAAAGUCAGUGGUGAAAGUUUGCAGCUUAACUGUAAAAUUGCCAUUGAAACUCUGGGUCUUGAGUGUAAAUGAGGUAGGCGGAAUGUGUUGUGUAGCGGUGAAAUGCUUAGAUAUAACACAGAACACCAAUUGCGAAGGCAGCUUACUAGGAUACAACUGACGCUGAGGCACGAAAGCGUGNGGAUCAAACAGGAUUAGAUACCCNGGUAGUCCACGCAGU
rnacentral:rRNA from 1 species